rnacentral:rRNA from 1 species
GACGAACGCUGGCGGCGUGCUUAACACAUGCAAGUCGAGCGGUAAGGCCCUUUUGGGGGUACACGAGCGGCGAACGGGUGAGUAACACGUGGGUGACCUGCCCUCAGCUCUGGGAUAAGCCUGGGAAACUGGGUCUAAUACUGGAUAUGACCUUUCCUCGCAUGGGGGUUGGGUGGAAAGUUUUUCGGCUGGGGAGUGGGCCCGCGGCCUAUCAGCUUGUUGGGUGGGGUGAUGGCCUACCAAGGCGACGACGGGUAGCCGGCCUGAGAGGGCGACCGGCCACACUGGGACUGAGACACGGCCCAGACUCCUACGGGAGGCAGCAGUGGGGAAUAUUGCGCAAUGGGCGGAAGCCUGACGCAGCGACGCCGCGUGGGGA